GCGCGCCCGCACGUGCCCGUCCGUCCUCGCCGCCCCGGGAGCGGCCGCGAGGGGCUCGGCGGGAGCAGCGCUGCCCCAGCACAGCCCCUGCCCGGGGUGCGGAGCGCUGGGAGGGCAAAACCCGCUGUGAAAACCGAGCCGAGACCCGGCGGGAGGCUGCGCCUCCAUCCCAGUGGCGUCCAAGUGCGCUUCCUGCGUGGAAUCGUUUGGUUGGGAAAGACCUUUGAGAGUCCGACCGUACCUGCCCGCCACUAAAACAGAUCUGUGAAGGCCUCAUGUGCCCCUGCGAGGAUGGGGACUCCGCCACACCCCUGGGCAGCCUCUGCCACGGCCUGGGAGCCCUUCUGAGCACUAAUAGGAACAGAAGAUUUCAGCUGUGCCUUUGCGAUCUCCACACUUACCACUGAAUCAAUACUGUUCACAAAGAAACAGCAUUAUAGGCUGGGGAAGCUGCUGACAAACCUGCACAUGGAGUAUUUUCUUAAUCCAGUUCUGUCAAAAUGGCUGAGGGUAAAUUGAAGUGAACUACAGGUUCCUUACUAUGGGGCAAGAAAUUAACUUCAUUAUUCCGAAACUAUGAAGAAAAUUCCUGAUGCUGCAGUCGGGAUAGCGGUCCGCUGUCUUUCUCCUGAGGUCUUGACAUGGGAAGUUUUGUUGGUCUGUGGAGAACAAAUUCCAAGAGCUGGUCUGGGAACAUUGCUAUAAACAGAACUGGAUUGGAUUCUAUUCCACGCUAAGUAUUAUUUGGCUGCUGUGCCCACCUAAUUAAUACAGUUCCUUUGAUAUAGUUUUGAAUGAAGAGGUGGGAGACCUGAAUUUCACUUUUACCAGCUGUCCAUGGUUUUAUUUACUCACAAACAUCUUAGCACAGAAACUGUCACCUCUGCCUGCAGUGAAUACUUGUUAGUGGUCUACAUACACGCAGUACUUUAAUCCGGGUGAGAUAUUAGUUUAGUUCUCCACUUUUAACUGGGAAUGACUGUUGGACUGAGUGAUCUUCGAGGUCUUUUGCAACCUUAAUGAUUCUAUGAUUCUGUGCAAAAUCCCAUUAACUCAAUAAAGCCAAAGAGCUCCCAUCCUCUGAGCUAUCUCAGCGUUAUCAGCUGGCAGAUUCUUGUGGGUGUCAUAGGUGGAAAUGGGUUAAAGGGGAGAUUCGAAGACAAAAGGGCUUUCAGGUUACAAGUACUGUAUUUUAUCUGUAACAAUGGAAAUAUGGGACAAAGUGAGAAGACAUCUAUAUGAGUAAUUGAGAAGUGGAAACUUGCUCUACAGAAAUCUAGUGUUGAAGGAGGAAUAUGAAAUAAUUAAAAUGCAGCUGUGCUUCCCUUGCAUUCUUGGGUACUGACUUAAAUGCGAGAAGCCAACUGAACAGCUUCGUGGUAAUUCCCAAGUUUGGGUUUCAUAGCGAACAUUUGAUGUUGUGGAUGAUUCGGUUUAUUUCAUCUAAGAAUCAGCCAGCCCUCUCUCUGGUUAUAGCCAGAACUUGGGAACAGGCAAUAGGACAAUAAAAAUAAUACUUUAGUGAUGCUGUGCUGUUCGAGUCAUCUUUGCGGGGUGAUUUGUCAAAGCAUGAGAGGAGUUCCUGAGUGAGGAACACAGACCCAGGUUCCGUACCUGCACCCAUCCUGGAGGCAGAAGCUGUGAAAGAAGGAUAGAGGGUCCAUAUCCUGUGGAUCCUUCACCUAAGUGUAGUGAAUUUGCUUUGGUUGGAGGAAGGGCGAUUCAGUCAUCGAGGUGUACAUUCCCUUUCCAAGCUCAACAAGCCCUCCUUAGGAUACAGUUCACCACGUAGGUGCAAGUGACGUAUUGAACGGUUUCUGUAAUACACGUGACUGGUGAAUGCACUAAUUUGAUGAAACGUUUUAGCUGAUGCUAUUUGUAAAUGACAAAUAGUGUGAGAGGGAGACUGAGGAACUGUGGACGUUGCUGCUUUUGUACAGUUUUUGCAAUCUGUUUGUGUCUUCAAUGAGUUCCAGGUACGAUCGUCGGUGGAUGACCGUGUCAGCUGUCUGAAGCUGGGGUCCUGAAUGAGGGCUGUUGUUUGCACACCAUGAUACGGUUUCACUUCAAAACCCAUGUGGCCAUUUUUAAAGACCAGUAUUUCACUGUAGACAGCUAACGAAUCAUCCAUGCAUAGCUGAAGCCAAAAUAGUCCUAAUAUUCUCUUUACUGCUACUACAGUAUCUCUUAAAAUGACGGAUGAGAUCAUUGUGGUAUUUUGGUUAUUGGUUCAGUUUCCUAUUUCUUUCUAGACCCUUUUUAAGCUCAUGCUGUCCUUACGGAAUGACCUCCUGGGUCGCUGUGUGUAUCCAUGUGACCAGCUGUUUACUGCCCUUCGCCGGUUUGAGUCAUUUUGAUAACCUAAGACAACAUUUUUAGCUUUAUGGGGGUAUCAGAGGGUUCAACAGCGAUGUGCUCACAUACUUGGGAAGAAUCCAGUACUGGGAUAAAAGUGCAGUGGGGCAGAAAGCACUUCAGUCAGGAUGGAUCAUCAACUAAGGAACUAAUGCCAACACACAUAUUUUUGCUUGUACUGUUCCGAGUUUGCUAUAAAGAGAUAAUGUGAAUGAAUUUUUUUAUUCUGCAUCAGGUGAGGAUCUAAACUGCAUCCUUCAGUAAAGAGAACCUGAAGUAGGAGUACAUAAGGAGGUCUCAAUAAAGAGAUGAUGGAAGAACUCUAUUUAAGCUGAUGGAUGCCUCAUGGUAGUAAACACUACACUUAAUAGGAUGUUAAUUGCCUGACAGUAUGUUUUUAUUUGCUACUAUAAAUCAACUUGUUGCAGUACAUAUAAUAUUUAUAACCCUACUUUGUUAUAACGUGCUUCUUCGCAGAUCAAGAAUUUUGAGGAAGACAAGGUGUAUUUUGUUCUGCUUGCUGGCAUGAGAGUUCCAGCUGAUUUUUCAUGUUCUUGAGUUGCAAAUGCCUGGGUGUCAUGAGAUCUUUUAUUUAAAAAAAAUAUAGCAUACUGUUCCUAGGCCAAAUAUUCUUUUGGAAAGCUAUUUUUGCUUCCACUCCCAAUAGUAACAAGAAAAUACUGCACUAUGAGUUAUUUUUAUGCGGAUGGAAAUAGCAUCCAUAUUAUUUCAAGACACUGAUGUAUAAAAUCUUUGUAAUGAAAGAGCGGCCACUUGUUUAUUGCGUGUUGUUUUCUCACAUUCGUUUAUUCUUGAAUUAUAGGGAAGUCUCACAUAAACAAAAAAUACCAUUCAAGAGAAUUUGUAAGUGCGAUGGAUUCUCAUGUGCCAACCAAUUAUGGUUGCUUAGGUAAAUGACUAUUUUUCUUUCCUAUGUUGCCAUUAAACCCAACAAAAGCUCUGCAUCCAUGAUUCUUGCACACUGUGAAUUGUGCUUGGAACAGCAGAGUUCUCAAACACUCGCUGAAGAGUCUUUUCACUUUAUUAACAGAAAGAAAUGAGGAGGGUAGAACUCACUGAAAGCAAUCAAGAUGUAUGCACGUUAUUUUGGGCUCAAUCAUUAAGUUUAACAGGUGCAUGAAAUAUUGCAUCAGAAGGACUCAGUAGAUUAUGGAAAGUCAGAAUGUGAAGAUUGUGUCCCUGCUUUUAAAUAAACGGGCUGACUUUUCAACUACAUCCUAAGGGCUGCAGCGUAGUUUUUCCUACAGGGGUUGUGUGGGGGUUAAGUGUAAUGCUUGUAUUAGAUGAGAAUUUGAUUCCAGUGGCAUGACUAUUUAUUUUCUGUUAAAACACCUUGAAAUAUAUAAACAAUUAAACAAAGACAUAAGUAACCAGUAUUUUAUGUAGGUAGAUCUAAAAUGUAAUUAAAUCCUCUGUAUAUUUCCACUGAGUUAUAGUCAGCUUAUGACUUCAAAGAGAGCAGAAUUUGUACCAUAUGUGUUAGCAGUAGCUUGAGAACUUGUAGGAUAACAUCUUAAAUGCAAUUCCACUGUGUCUUUCCCUUUUAAACGUUAUAGUCUUCAAAAGAGAAAUUUUCGCUAGGUGCUGUUGUGCUCUUCAUUUCAAGAGUAGACGCUCCUAAAAGCAUUAAAAAUAAAUGGCCAACUGCCUUUAGUAAUGCUUUCUUGCGAACUUUUAAUUCCUUUUAUAGAUAGUUUUUAUCUGUAAUUACCUUCACCCCCUAUUCUAUAGACAGAAUUAAUUACUUCUACAACUAGUGAAGUAGUUUGGAAUUACCCUGUGUUUGAAAUACAGGAAAGAAAAUUCGUUAGGCUGUACAUGCACAAGUUAACUUCGAAAAUAGCAAGCUGUUUAUUUGAUGGAUAACAUUUUUUCUUACCAAACUGUAUCUAAUCAAAUCCUUACAAAGCAAUGCCAUGCAUUUGAUGCAUGUCCCAUAAUUCUCUUUGGAGACAGUGCACAGCUGCUGCAGUUAGUAUUAGCUGCUUCUUAUGGCUUGGUAUUUUCUUUCAAUAAAAAUCACAGAUGGCAGGGUGUCUUUCACACCAUGAUUGUAAAUAUGAGCCUGGUUCAGGUGAAGAGGUAAUGUAAGUACAUGUAAUUCUACUUUAAGUAUAAAAAUCCCACAUUGAGCUCAAUUACUGUCUGUUUUUCUGUAGUCCCUG